AACCCAUGCUGAGGGCACUUCCGAAGCAAGUUUUUGAAUCUGUUCCAGGCUUCGUCGAAUAAUUCAGUUUCCCCUUGAUUGAAUACUGAUAUGUCAUGUCUCAGUUU
rnacentral:snoRNA from 1 species